GCUGGGCAUGGAGGCGCGUGCCUGUAGUCCCAGCUACUCGGGAGGCUGAGGUGGGAGGAUGGCUUGAGUCCAGGAGUUCUAGGCUGUAGUGUGCUAUGCUGAUCGUUCGGCAUCAAUAUGGUGAUCUCCCAGGAGCAGGGGACCACCGGGUUGCCUAAGGACGGGUGAACUGGCCCAGGUCAGAAAUGGAGCAGGUCAAAACUCCCGUGCUGAUCAGUGGUAGGUUGGCACCUGUGAAUAACCACUGCACUCCAGCCUGGGCAACAUAGCAAGACCCCGUCUCUA
ensembl:misc_RNA Metazoa_SRP Metazoan signal recognition particle RNA